rnacentral:rRNA from 1 species
GAACGCUGGCGGCAUGCUUUACACAUGCAAGUCGAGCGGCAGCGCGGGGGCAACCCUAGCGGCGAGCGGCGAACGGGUGAGUAAUACAUCGGAACGUACCCCGUAGUGGGGGAUAACCCGGCGAAAGCCGGACUAAUACCGCAUAUGCUCUACGGAGGAAAGUGGGGGACUCGCAAGAGCCUCAUGCUAUGGGAGCGGCCGAUGUCCGAUUACCUUGUUGGCGGGGUAAAGGCCCACCAAGGCGACGAUCGGUAGCUGGUCUGAGAGGAUGAUCAGCCACACUGGGACUGAGACACGGCCCAGACUCCUACGGGAGGCAGCAGUGGGGAAUUUUGGACAAUGGGGGCAACCCUGAUCCAGCCAUGCCGCGUGCGGGAAGAAGGCCUUCGGGUUGUAAACCGCUUUUGUCCGGAAAGAAAAGGCAUCCCCUAAUACGGGGCGCUCUUGACGGUACCGGAAGAAUAAGCACCGGCUAACUACGUGCCAGCAGCCGCGGUAAUACGUAGGGUGCGAGCGUUAAUCGGAAUUACUGGGCGUAAAGCGUGCGCAGGCGGUUCGUCAAGUCUGAUGUGAAAGCCCCGGGCUCAACCUGGGAAUGGCAUUGGAUACUAGCGAGCUUGAGUGUGGCAGAGGGGGGUGGAAUUCCACGUGUAGCAGUGAAAUGCGUAGAGAUCUGGAGGAACACCGAUGGCGAAGGCAGCCCCCUGGGCUAACACUGACGCUCAUGCACGAAAG